GAUGAACGCUGGCGGCGUGCCUAAUACAUGCAAGUCGAGCGAACAGACGAGGAGCUUGCUCCUCUGACGUUAGCGGCGGACGGGUGAGUAACACGUGGAUAACCUACCUAUAAGACUGGGAUAACUUCGGGAAACCGGAGCUAAUACCGGAUAAUAUAUUGAACCGCAUGGUUCAAUAGUGAAAGACGGUUUUGCUGUCACUUAUAGAUGGAUCCGCGCCGCAUUAGCUAGUUGGUAAGGUAACGGCUUACCAAGGCAACGAUGCGUAGCCGACCUGAGAGGGUAUCCGGACACGCUGGAAGAGAGACACGGUCCACACUGCGACGGAGGGACGCCGUAGAGACUUUCCCGAAGCGGGAGAAGGGUAGACGGGGCAACGCCGGGUGAGUGAUGAAGGUAUUGGGAUGGGAAAACUCUGUUAUUAAGGAAGAAAAAAUGUGUAAAUACCUAUGCACGUUGAGACGGCACCUAAUAAGAACGCCACGUAUCUCCACG
rnacentral:rRNA from 1 species